AAGGAGAAGGAGACGGCGACUGCGGGCUCUUGCCUUGCGCCGGCUGGUGCGGAGCGGGGUACCUGUGCCCGGCGGCUCCGCGCGGGUGGCUGGCGGGGGGACUGCCGCGGAGCGGCCGCAGCCCCCCUCCCUGCGUGAGCGACGGGGGCGCAGCCGCCGCCGGUGGCUCUGCCCGUGCCCCAGGCGCUGGGAAGUUACUGCCCGCCUGCCAUUUUGGUGCAGCCCUCGCGUUUGGCCGAGGAUUUUCCUCAUAGUUAUUCAUAUCCAGGACAGAGUAUAUAAUGGGGAGAAAACUGGAUCUUUCUGGCUUGACUGAUGAAGAAGCAGAGCAUGUGCUCCAGGUGGUUCAGCGAGAUUUCAGCCUUCGUAAGAAAGAAGAAGAAAGGCUGAGUGAAAUGAAGCAGAAGUUGGAUGAAGAGGGUAACAAGUGCAGCAUUCUUUCCAAGCAGCAGAAGUUCAACGAGCACUGCUGUAUUCGCUGCUGUUCCCCUUUCACAUUUCUUAUCAACAGCAAGCGACAGUGCCAAGACUGCAAGUACAACAUCUGCAAGAGCUGCAGUUCUUACCAGAAGAAGGAGAAGGCUUGGAUUUGCAGCGUCUGCCAGCAAGCAAGGCUCCUAAGGACCCAGUCUCUGGAUUGGUACUAUAAUAAUGUCAAAAGCCGCUUUAAGUGUUUUGGAAGUGCCAAAGUCCUGAAGAACUUAUACAAGAAGCAUAGACUGGAGACCGGAGUUUGUCCUGAUGUAGUAGAAGGAGGUUUUUUUGAAGGAAGCUUUGAAAAUGAAGGAAGCAUUUGUGGCAGUGACUCUACAUUCUACCAACAGACAGAAGGACACAGCAUGAUGGAUACCCUUGCUGUGGCCUUACGGGUUGCAGAGGAAGCAGUGGAAGAAGCUAUUUCUAAGGCAGAGACCUACAGUGACAGCCUGGACAAGCAGAAUGAGGCUUGUUACUUGCAGGAACACAAGGAGGACCUCAUAGAAGAGCUGGCCACAACAAUUGUGCAGAAGAUUAUAAAGAAGCAGAAAAGCAAAACUGAGCAGGCCGAGGCUGACUUUGAAUGGCCACCAUCCAGGAGCAGCGGCCUGGCGUCUGUUGCUGUCUCAGAUCAGAGUAUGCUGACUUUUCCGGGGAGCCGCAGGGGGUCCUACACAUUGUGGAGGUCCCAGUCUGCAUUCUCCCUGGCUAGUGAAGAUGUGCCCAGUAAAGGACUAGACCCUGCAUCAUCUGUGACUGAAGCUCUUUGGAGGCAGCAAAAAGGACAAUUCAGGAAACAGAAGGAACGCAAGCUCUCUGCAUUACCCAGCUGGAAAAGUGUGGACAGGCUAAAUGAAACAAAUCCGCCUUCUGUUUUUCAAAGCACUGAUGGAAACUGGGUAGCUUUGCAGAAUGUCACUUUGCCUCGUCCUCGAAUGCUCGCCAAACCAAAGAGUCAAGUAUUCGAAGCUUUGGAGAAUGAAUCCAGCAUUGUGUCUGCCUAUGACGAAAUGGGCUCAGACAGCGAGGAUGACUAUGACUGGAAUGUGGCCUUGAACAAGCUGCAUCGGAAACCUUGGCAAUUACCAGACGGUUUCUAUUAUACCAAUUCCCAGUAUGGUACUGAAUGGGUUUAUGGCAAUGAUCAGUACCAGGCAGUGACCUCCCCUUCCUCGGGGUUAUACACCAAUACUGAGACACUGUUCUCCGAUUCAGAAACAUCUUCGGUAGACUCUUCCCAGGAAGCUAAAGGACCUAGCAAACUUCUCUGGUUACAAAGCAGAACUCAAAGUGAUAUGCCCAGAAUGGAAAAAACACAUUUCCACGGAGAACUGGAUGUGAAUUUCAAUCCACAGGCAACCAGCUUGGAGUAUUCGGACAGCAGUGAGACUGAAGAAGUACAUUAUGAUUUAGAAAAGAGAUCCAGAAGGUGGAGGAAGAACAAAGCGAUCUCUGGAGAGUUACAUGAAGAAAAAAAUCACACGAAAGCCAACAAGAUGAAUUCAAGUCAGGAUUUCGAUGAGUUAUCAGAAACAGAUAUAAGCAGUGAGGAUCAGUGUCAUAAUAUCAAGCCCGACCUUAUGGAGGAGGAGCUUAAAUCCAGGUUAUUUCAGCUUGCUGCUAAAAUGAGUGACAAGGAAACAUCUUCUGGUGAAGAACAAGAGUCAGAACCUAGAACAGAACCUGAGAACCAGAAGGAGAGUUUAUCCUCAGAGGAAAAUGGCAGAAGUAUUCAGGAAGAGCUAAAGAAGGAAAAACAAAAGGCUUUUGAUCUUCAUUUAAAGCUGCAGUUUUUGUCCACUGUAUUGCAGCAGAAGUACUCUGCUGUCUCUCUCUGCAACAUAUCUACAGAAGUCCUGAAAGUCAUCAAUGCCACUGAAGAACUGAUAGCAGAAUCCACCAGUCCCUGUGAUUUCCCAGCUGACAUUCAGGACAGAGGAAGAGGGACCUUCCCACUGGGGACGGACCCCGUCAGACUUGAUGAGCAGCUCACCACGUUGGAAGAAAACGUGUACCUGACAGCCAGCACUGUGUAUGGGCUGGAGGGGCAGCUGACCAACCUGGAGGACGCCGCACGCAAGAUCAACAGUGUCACUGCAGAAUCUGAGCUGGCCGAUCUGGAGGAUCAGGUAGCCACAGCAGCCGCCCAGGUUCAUCACGCGGAGCUUCAGAUUUCAGAUAUUGAGAGCAGAAUAUCAGCUCUCACUGUUGCAGGCUUGAACGUGGCUCCCUGUGUUCGCCUGACAAGGAAACGGGAUCAAAAGCAAACAAACCAGAUGCAUACGAUAGACACAUCAAGACAGCAGAGGAGAAAACUUCCAGCUCCACCAGUAAAAGGUGAGCUUAAGUUAUGGUUCUCCAGUUACCACUGUCAGAAUGUUUAACAGAAACUUCAUGCUUCAAGGAUCUCUAACACAAAGAACUAAAGAGAGGAAAAGCACUGCCAAGGACUUAAUGGAACCUGCUAUAGGAUCUGCUGUGAUGUACUAAACUUACACUUCCCUACUGCCAAUAACACACUGCCUAAGGCUGUACACUAGAGUGCCUUUACUUAACAGCCAUUGUGUAUGUCCAGCUGAAAAUGGACCCUCACGAACCCACAAUGCCUCAGUUAUAGGGCUUCGUUUGGAUACCUCACUGGGAAAGCUGUCCAAGUCUUCAGCAUUGUGGUCUGCUAAAGGAAACUCUGCCUUAAAGUUCUCACAAGACUCUAGAAAGGAUGCUGAGUUUCAAAAGCAAGGCUCCACAUUUUAAGAUGCACUUUUGUUCCCUAUUGAUUGUACUAAAGUAUGUCGUCUUUAAACUGCAGUAUGUUUUUGUACACUGUCAAUCAUAAUUAUAGGCCAAUAUUUUGUACAAAAAGAAAGAACAAAGCAGACCUGUGAUCCAUAUUUGCUGGCUUCUUACUGUUCACGUAGGCAUGCGUCUUGUUGAGCAAUAAGAACAAGUCUGUGCAGUGUAUGCUGCUUUUCAGCUGUGUGGUGGGAGUGGAGAAUCGGUGCACAUAGCUCUGCUCCCUGGGAGUCAGUGGAAGUUUUGACGGAGUUUGUAGGAGGAGAUGCUAUAUGCAAAGACUUCUCUGUUCGCUGAAGGUACAUUUGGCAGAGUUAAUGUUCUAGCUCCAGAGCUAGGUAUUUUGCUCCUGGCGGCAGGGGGAACGUGGAUGUCGUGUUGAACUUUGAAUUGGUGGCAGUACAUGUGGACCAGAUGUCUGUUGAGUUACAAUCCUGGCAUCUGGAAACAUCUGAACACUGUUGUGAAACCAACACCCUUGUAUGUCUCGUUCUUGGUAGCAUUGUCCUCUUGGUGGUGUCCAACCAUGCUGUGGUUCCGAAUAAAUUCUGACCAAAUCUUUAAGAUUGCAAAAAGAAAGUAAAAGCAUUGUGGAUGAGAUCUCUGCUGACUGGCUGGUGGUUGUAGGGUGGCUGCAGCCUGUAAGAGAUUCCCUUCUGCCAUUUCCUGGCUUUUCUGAGGAGGGGGCAAAUGUAGCCUGGACGUCUCUUCCUUUACUAGUCUGUAGCCAACAUAGAGUAGCUGGGGCCUGUCACUGGUGCCAUGUGCACCACACUACCAUUGCACCACUCUGAAUUGGAUUGUGAAUAGUAAAAUUUCUUCUGUUGUUUCUUGAGACUUUUGAAAGGUGAGACAAACUGGAAGGCCCUUGAGCAGAUGCGCCAGGAGGGAAGAUGCUGCUUACAGGGUGUCCCUCUCACCCUUUUUGGGGAGGACCUUGCCAAUUUGUGGUAUUUUUUGCUCCGAAGAAUACCAGGGAGGUAGUUGGAGGGCGUGAUGAGGCAGUGAAUCCCUUAUCUUCCACACAAAGUGCAGAGCGGGUACCCAAAUGCAGACUGGGUCGGUGUGAGACAUGCUGUGAAGGAGGGCACAGGCUGGCAAGUUGCCCCUCGGUGUUCAGAAGUGGUGAGUUCUCCAGAGAGCAGUGGGUAGCAGGGAAGUAGGCGAGCUGCUCCUUUCCCUGGGCUCCCAGCAAAUGCCCACUAGCAGAGUGCUACACGCUACCUGCCAUGCGGCAGGAAAGCAGUCUCCCGGGACCCCAGGCCACAAAAUGUCUGCGGUUGGGCAAAUAUGAGCAAAACUGGGCAAAUUCCCUGGCUAGGCUGGAUUUAGGGUGGCAGGUGGGGAAGGUGAGGAAUGGCUGGAUGGGACGGUUGGAAAAACGGUGCCAGUUGCAGACCUGCCACCCACAUUUGACAUCUAGCUUGUCAGUACCCUGAUGUCCAGCUGCAUGUAAGGAACCCUCGGAAUAAAUACAACCAUCUUCCCACCUAGAAUACAUAAGCAUCCCUCCAUCCCUUGAAGGAAUUUCCCUCUGCCCAAGAUCUGACCCAAUGUGUUCAUUCUGGGUGAAAGUAUGCCUUCUUUUACUCUCAUACAAUACUAGUUCUCUGAAAUUGGUUUGCACAGAUGUGAGGGCAGAAUUUGGCCCACUCUGUUUAAUAUAUAAAUAUAUGUAUAAAACAAAUAGAUUUUAUUUAUAUAUGCAAUCCAGUAAAGGAGAUUAAACAGAGUAGGAUGCCUAGUAAUUUUUUUUGUUAUCCAGUCUCCUCCUCCUUCCUUGACUGUUCUCGUGUAUGUAUACAACACAUUCCCAGGUUCUGGUUUAUGCAGGUAUGCGUGUUAUGAAAUGUCAUUAAUGGUGGUUGGUCUACAUAUUCGUCUAAUAAAUAAUAACUAAUAUUGUGUAUGUAAUAUCAAUACAGAAAUGACUAAUUUUAAUAGAAUAACUCUUUGGCUUUUGUUCUGUUAGUGUGAUUUAAACAAGCCAACAGGUUGUUUUCUUUAAGAGGCAUGAAAAGCAACUAUUAUCGUGUUACAAUGUUAAAAUAUUCAGUCUUCUUUGACAGAAAAAUGUGUACUGUGUAGGCAUUGCAAAAAAAAAAAAGAAAAGAAAAAAAUUUAAAAAAAAUCCCACCUGCUAUAAGGCAUUCGAAUUUUUACAAAUGUUUAUUGUGCCAAAUACGUGCAGAGAUAUAAUUUACUGUUUUAAAACAAUCAUAAAAGCAUAUGUUAUAGCACACAAAGAAUUAUUUUGUCAUCAGGUGAUUUCAAUCUUUAGUGUUAAUAUUUAUAUUUAGAUUAAUUUUUAUAAAUGAAAAUAUUUUAAUGGGUAAAAUGAAGACUAUAUUAUCUAUUUGAUUAAGUCUGAGUGAAUAUUAAGCUUGCCUUGUUGUUGUUAUCUGCAUACUCACCAAGAAUUAUUGUCAAGAGAAAUUAUAAAAGAGUAAAAGUGAUUUAUGAAAAGAAUGCCUUUUAAGGACUUGAUUCAUAAAGAAAACCCAAAAGUU